CGCUAUGAACCAUGGGAAAUCCCCCAAGAAAGUUUGCAGAUUUGCGGACUCACACAUAAGGCGUCGGGGGAGUCCGGACUUGUUGAUCCGACCAAGACAACCUUGAUCCCUCGUGCAGUCAGCGGGAGCGCGCAUUAAAGUUCAUGAGCGUGGAGUCUGGGAUUUAGCCAAAUUUGCUGGAGUCGUGCAGACAGCCGCACUUUGCACCUACGUGCUGUGGUUUGUGAGGUUUACUCAAGUCUCCUGCAGCUGCAGGGAGUGUCUCUGACCCGGCUGGUAGCUCCAGUCCGUCCUCAUUGUUUCAUCAUCUCAGAAAAAUCCGGAUUUGGCUGCAGCGCGCUGCAAGUUGAACUUUGCUGAUACUGGUUUGCCAGGUGGCGUUCAAAGGUUCUCCAGCGUGCAGCGUGCUCACUCAGGUUUAACGGUAAAACUCCUGCUGCAAGUUUCCAGAUGGCUUCUGCAUGGCAAAGUGUCUUGUCUGUGCACCAGAGGAUAGUGGACAAUGGAGACAAGAGGACGGACCCGUGGCUGCUGGUCUACUCCCCCGUCCCGGUGGCACUCAUCUUCCUGGUGUACCUCUGCGUGGUCUGGGCCGGCCCUCGUCUGAUGAAACACAGAGAACCCGUUGACCUCAAAGUGGUUCUCAUUGUUUACAACUUUGCCAUGGUCGGCCUGUCUGCCUACAUGUGCUAUGAGUUCCUGGUCACAUCCUGGCUCUCGAGCUACAGCCUCCUCUGUCAGCCUGUAGAUUACAGCACCAACCCGCUAGCAUUGAGGAUGGCCAGAGUCUGCUGGUGGUUCUUCUUCUCUAAGGUCAUAGAGCUCAGUGACACCAUCUUCUUCAUCCUGAGGAAGAAGAACAGCCAGCUGACGUUCCUUCAUGUUUACCACCACGGCACCAUGAUCUUCAACUGGUGGGCGGGAGUCAAGUACGUGGCCGGCGGACAGUCGUUCUUCAUCGGCCUGGUCAACACCUUUGUUCACAUCGUGAUGUAUUCUUACUACGGCCUGGCUGCGCUCGGCCCUCACAUGCAGAAGUACCUGUGGUGGAAGAGAUACCUCACCUCUCUGCAGCUGGUGCAGUUUGUGCUGUUCCUCCUGCACACAGGCUACAACCUGUUCACAGAGUGCGACUUCCCCGACUCCAUGAACGUGGUCGUGUUUGGUUACUGUGUCACCCUCAUCAUCCUCUUCAGUAACUUCUAUUUUCAGAGCUACCUCAACAAGAAGAAGCAGAAAUAAGACACAGUGAUUGUGGAGCUUUAUGAAACUGUGAACAGCCGGAAAGAACACACCCCUAAGGAUGGAGAAGGCAGAAGCACACUGCCGCGAUGAAUGAGAAGAAUCCAGAGACCCUCAGCAGAAAGUUCUCCCUCAGCUCCUUCAACA